rnacentral:rRNA from 1 species
UUUAGUCAGGCAACGAGCGAGACCUGUGCACACAAUUGCUAACGGGUUAGCGAUAACGACCGAGCACAUUGUGUGGACUGCUCCAGAAAUGGAGAGGAAGGCGCAGGCAACGGUAGGUCUGUAUGCUCCGAAUCUUCUGGGCUACACGCGCGCAACAAUGGUAGGUACAAUGGGCUGCAACACCGAAAGGUGAAGCUAAUCCUCGAAAACCUACCCUAGUUCAGAUUGUGGGUUGCGACUCACCCACAUGACGUUGGAAUCCCUAGUAAUCAGGCUUUAGCAGAGCCCGGUGAAUAUGUCCCUGCUCCUUGCACA